rnacentral:ncRNA from 1 species
CCGUGCCAGCAGCCGCGGUAAUACGGAGGAUGCAAGCGUUAUCCGGAAUGAUUGGGCGUAAAGAGUCCGUAGGUGGCCCUUCAAGUCUGCUGUUAAAGAGCGAGGCUUAACUUCGUAAAAGCAGUGGAAACUGGAGAGCUAGAGUGUAGUAGGGGCAGAGGGAAUUCCUGGUGUAGCGGUGAAAUGCGUAGAGAUCAGGAAGAACACCG